UUAGCAGUAUCCUGAGUACGGCGAGACACGCGAAAUCUCGUCGGAAUCUGGGAGGACCAUCUCCCAACCCUAAAUACUCUCUAGUGACCGAUAGUGAACCAGUACCGUGAGGGAAAGGUGAAAAGCACCCCGGGAGGGGAGUGAAAUAGAACCUGAAACCGUGUGCCUACAACAAGUUCGAGCCCGUUAAUGGGUGAGAGCGUGCCUUUUGUAGAAUGAACCGGCGAGUUACGAUAUGAUGCGAGGUUAAGUUGAAGAGACGGAGCCGUAGGGAAACCGAGUCUUAAUAGGGCGUCAUAGUAUCAUGUUGUAGACCCGAAACCAUGUGACCUACCCAUGAGCAGGUUGAAGGUGAGGUAAAACUCACUGGAGGACCGAACCAGGGCACGUUGAAAAGUGCUUGGAUGACUUGUGGGUAGCGGAGAAAUUCCAAACGAACUUGGAGAUAGCUGGUUCUCUCCGAAAUAGCUUUAGGGCUAGCGUCGAUGUUAAGUCUCUUGGAGGUAGAGCACUGUUUGGGUGAGGGGUCCAUCCCGGAUUACCAAUCUCAGAUAAACUCCGAAUGCCAACGAGAUAUAAUCGGCAGUCAGACUGCGAGUGCUAAGAUCCGUAGUCGAAAGGGAAACAGCCCAGACCACCAGCUAAGGUCCCAAAAUAUAUGUUAAGUGGAAAAGGAUGUGGGGUUGCACAGACAACUAGGAUGUUAGCUUAGAAGCAGCUAUUCAUUCAAAGAGUGCGUAAUAGCUCACUAGUCGAGUGACCCUGCGCCGAAAAUGUACCGGGGCUAAAACAUAUUACCGAAGCUGUGGAUGACACAAAAGUGUCAUGGUAGGAGAGCGUUCUAUGUGUGAAGAAGGUGUACCGUGAGGAGCGCUGGAACGCAUAGAAGUGAGAAUGCCGGUAUGAGUAGCGCAAGACAGGUGAGAAUCCUGUCCACCGUAAGACUAAGGUUUCCAGGGGAAGGCUCGUCCGCCCUGGGUUAGUCGGGACCUAAGGAGAGACCGAAAGGUGUAUCCGAUGGACAACAGGUUGAUAUUCCUGUACUAGAGUAUAUAGUGAUGGAGGGACGCAGUAGGCUAACUAAACCAGACGAUUGGAAGUGUCUGGUCAAACAGUGAGGUGUGAUAUGAGUCAAAUGCUUAUAUCUUUAACAUUGAGCUGUGACGAGGAGCGAAGUUUAGUAGCGAAGUUAGUGAUGUCACACUGCCAAGAAAAGCUUCUAGCGAUACAUAUACUCUACCCGUACCGCAAACCGACACAGGUAGUCGAGGCGAGUAGCCUCAGGUGAGCGAGAGAACUCUCGUUAAGGAACUCGGCAAAAUGGCCCCGUAACUUCGGGAGAAGGGGCGCUGAUUUUAGAUCAGCCGCAGUGAAUAGGCCCAAGCAACUGUUUAUCAAAAACACAGCUCUCUGCUAAAUCGUAAGAUGAUGUAUAGGGGGUGACGCCUGCCCGGUGCUGGAAGGUUAAGAGGAGUGCUUAGCGUAAGCGAAGGUAUGAAUUGAAGCCCCAGUAAACGGCGGCCGUAACUAUAACGGUCCUAAGGUAGCGAAAUUCCUUGUCGGGUAAGUUCCGACCCGCACGAAAGGCGUAAUGAUUUGGGCACUGUCUCAACGAGAGACUCGGUGAAAUUUUAGUACCUGUGAAGAUGCAGGUUACCCGCGACAGGACGGAAAGACCCCAUGGAGCUUUACUGCAGUUUGAUAUUGAGUAUCUGUACCACAUGUACAGGAUAGGUAGGAGCCUAUGAUA
rnacentral:rRNA from 1 species